rnacentral:sRNA from 1 species
GUGGUAGCUCACCCACACUGCAAUCCAUCUGCUGACUCAACUUGCUGGUAUCGGGCAGCAGCCAGGACCACAGCUCCUCCAGCUCCUUUGUGACCUUUUCCUUCAGCUUCUUCAAAUACUGGGUUAGACACCUGCCUGGAAUAUAGUGAGUGUUAGGAUAAAGUAAACAUAGACCAGAGGAAGAAGUCAAAUACACAUUUGCCUCAGCCGCAUUCAGUUGCCAGAGAGCAGGCACCAAGUCACUGGAGAGUGCAAUUUAUCCAGGAUAGAAUUUUGGCUCUAGAAGUGUGACCAAGUGAGAGAGAAUAAGGGAACUGAGAGUAAAUGGCAAGGAGUGACUGAAAUCACUAAUCAUUAAUCGCCAUGUGCAACAAGAUAUACUUUGAAAAAACUCCCCGUAGAAGGCAGCGAAGAAGACAAAUCACAAACUGGUGUGAAUAGAGCCAGCAAAGGAGGUCUUAUCUAUGGGAACUACCUGCAUUUGGAAAAAGUUUUGAAUGCACAAGAACUGCAAAGUGAAACAAAAGGAAAUAAAAUCCAUGAUGAACAUCUUUUUAUCAUAACUCAUCAA